UACGUAGGUGGCAAGCGUUGUCCGGAUUUACUGGGCGUAAAGAGCGCGCAGGCGGUCGUUCAAGUCGCGUGUGAAAGCCCCCGGCUCAACUGGGGAGGGUCACGCGAUACUGAUCGACUCGAAGGCAGGAGAGGGAAGUGGAAUUCCCGGUGUAGUGGUGAAAUGCGUAGAUAUCGGGAGGAACACCAGUGGCGAAGGCAGCUCGCUGGGACGGUACUGACGCUGAGACGCGAAAGCGUGGGGAGCGAACAGG
rnacentral:rRNA from 1 species